GAGAGAAGGGUUGUUUUCCCUUGGAUCUUAGGGCUUGUCCUCGGAACCUUGAUGAGCUUGUGGUUGCGGCGACGAAUGAGAGCUUCUUCUAUCAUGGAAAGGAAAAUGAUGAGUUCCCUCUCUGUCUCUCUCUCUCAUGUAUGGCAUUGCGUGUAGGUGUCGAAAGCAUGUUGUGCAGCCAAGGAUGACUUGCCGACUCUCUUUCUUCUUAUUUAUUUGGAUUGGAUCUAUCUCCGUGUAUGUUAAAUUAAUGGAAAUAGUGAAGUUGGCAAGUUGUUCUUGGCUACAUGCUUCUUUCCGCUCCACAUGCCAGGCCAUUGGUGAUACUCACGGUCACAGAUGAAUCACCGGUCUCGAGUUCCGAUCCAUUUUGGCCCAAGAAUGCUAGAGAGGUAUGUUAUUGUUCAAUUCAUUUCAUGGUUCAUUCAGGUUGAUUCUGAAAAUAGGAUGUUUCAUCAAGCUACUGCUGCUUUUCUUAGCUCACCCUUGCCCCCUCGAUGCACUUGUUUGAUCCCUAGCAAUUUUGGUUCAAAUAAGAUUUACCCUUGUCAGUAUAUAUAUAUAUACACCUCUCUUUGUAACUUCACAUACACUAGUGUCAAGAUCAGUGAAAUGAAGACCAAAAUCAGAAUGAGGAAGAAUAGAACAUCAUGAUGUAAGUCGAUUAUUCCUUGCAACAUAGGUGUUGCUGCAUCUUGAGGCUGAGAAGAUGUCCUGAUCGCAUCUCUCUCAAGCCAUUGUCUAAGGGCUUCAUAUUCCUCUGGAGGCGUUGCAACAUAGUCAGUGAAGAAGAAAGAAUGAGAUUGUCUUCUCCCAGUUCCCUCUCCGUCAAUUCGUGUGUCCACUUAUACAUUGAUUGUAGUACUCACUUCUGAUUUAGUACACUUGUAAAUCACUUGCUGCAAUCUUGUCCGUGGUUAACUAUAAAUUUUUGUCCAAACUGUAUUUAUUUGUCGAUGAGUCAUAAUUCGAGACAUUGUAUUUAAAUUCUGAAGUACAUUCUUUUGUCAAUCACUAGGUCAGGUCCUGUGUCUCUAGUUCUUGGUCAAGAACAGGUAUUAUUGCAGAUUAGGGAACCUGGACUUAGUAUGAAUUGGCUUAAUGAACAUUGUUGAUCAUCGACGAAGAGAAAAUGCAGCAUCCAACCAUCUUUAUUCUCAUCUAUCUGGAUUGAAUUGGUUCAGACUUUAUAUGACUUUGUUGGGUACUUGCUUGUCUAUAAGUAGUAUUUGCUGAUCUUGACUGAAGAAGAAAUAGCCUGGAACACGUUUCCAACUCCAUACACUAGUUGAUAUGACUCGGGAACUGCCCUUUCAGCAAGGAUCUCAACGCAAUGAAGUAAUUAUCAGGAGAUCAUAUUGACUGAAAUGAAAAGAGUUGGUUGUCUUCAGAAAUGUGGUGAGAGUGAAGGCAAAAGUCGAGACUAGACUGCAUUAAACUUGGAAGGCACUGCUACUUUGGAUUUCAUACUUCAAAAUCUGCUGUUGAGGAUGAUUUUUCCCCUACAAGCACACAAUUUACACUAUCGUGUAUCAAAUCUUUCUGCCUUUGAUCUCUCCAAUUUAUAUCUUGUUUGAAUGCAGUGCACAAUCACAUUGUUUUCUCGCA